ACCACGCAGAACACAAUACCUUUUUGUUUCUCACUUGGCUCCAUAUGUCGAUCACCGGCUUAUGUAUUUUUUUUUUCAAUUUUAGUUGAUCAUCGCUGAAGAAAUUAUUUUGUUUUCGUCCGUUUUAUACUUUUGUCCUCUGCAACCUUUUUUUUUUGUAAAUCCAACUCGCGCAAAAGUCAAAAGAUUGAGUGUACAAGUGGAUAUUUUUUUUGUUUUCCACCAGAGUUAUUAGUUCGGCAAUCUUCACAGCGCAAGUCUUGAGCUGCAGGUCGGCAGGAUCGCUAAAUUGUCAGCCGGACGUCGCUUCCUCGCGAUCGAGAGCACUUCAAGAGGUCAGCUGGAGAACAAAGAGGAAGACUACGGCUGUCCACACUGACGAGCAGACAUUUCCGAGGUUCAUGGGGACGUGUGACGUGAAAGUGCUCACAGUUCCGCCACCACCGUUGCUGCUGCCCUCGAUGAGCCUCUCCUGUAGGCCGUAAAGACUGCGGGAGCCUCCACCUGGAGGGAUGGUGCAGAACGACAAAAGGCGGGACCCAGGCGCCGCUAGCCCCGUGCCACCGUUACUGCUGCUGCUCACUUUGGGCUCCGAGAACUGCCGCCCGGCGUCCGACGGGACCUUGGGCGCCAUCGCAAUGUCGCCCGUCGACGAGUGGACGCUCACGGACACCGAGGUGUCCAUGGCCGUCUCCACGUCCUGCUGGGGCAUUGCCUGCAGCUCCGGCUGUGACGGCUGGCCGAAGCUGCUACCUGAGGCUUCUGUCAAGUCCAAUUGUGGAAGACUGGGACACCCCCCCCCACCCCCCUGUCCUGUCCGCACGCACGGGCACUGACACAGUACUCACACAUGGGCUUGAGCUGGCCCACCAACUCCUCGCGUGACCACUUCGCCCAUUCCUUCCGGUCGGUGUUGAUGGAGCACAGGAUAGGUCCGCAUGGUUUCCCACAGUCCUCGAUGGCUGGAACAUUCAGGUAGUGGACCAGCACUAUGUCUGGAUUCUGCGCCACAAAGGGGUGAAGACAAGGAGCGGAAUGGUUAAUGUCGCAAUGCCACGGAAUUAUCUGUCGAUGUUUCGCAUCACAGUCGCAGAGACGCAUGGGCCAUCAACACUGGGAAUUGCCAAUGUUUCCUGAAGGUACGAGGGAUGUGACCUGGGUGGUAUUUAGUUUGUUGUCCUGCCCCACAGCUCCGAUUAGCACGGUCGGCUCGGUAUGGUGCGAAAGACGUUCAACAUACAUACAUACACGUAGGCUUUCGUGAUCGAUAUUAUCCACGAGAGGUUUUUGGGUUAGAUCGCCUGAAUAUAAAUGUGUCAUUAAACCCACCACCACCAGACACAGCCAAUUAGUAAGGUUUGUCACGUGAAACAAAGCAUGCCAAUUCGUUACAAGUUCAGCACACCCGUGUGGUGGCAGGUUUAAUGACACAUUCAUAUGUACGCGAUCUAACCAAAACCCUGUGUUAUGGAUAGAUACAUACAUACAGGACUAAAAAUAUCUCAUAAUAUCAAACGAGGUGAGAACUACAUGAAACUGACAAAGACCAGAACUUUGAAUGAUUUAUGUUCUGGCAAGAUGAACAUAUUUCCCCGGACAGCCAUGAUCCUGGGAAAACGAGGAAACUAAACUAAAACUAUUUUUAAUUUUACCAGGUAAGGCCCACUGAGCUAUAUAGCUCUUUGUCAGAAGCGACCUUGCCACAAAUGAUAGCUCAAUGAAGUGGCUCAUCAUGUGGAAAUUCAUUGCAACCAACUACUCUAAACGCAUGUUUGUUUCUAAACGUGAAGGGAAAAACUGGAGGAGAAAAAUCCAGGCGACCACAGGGAGAACUCCAAAUAUAUAGGCGUAAGGGUUGGGAUCGAACCCACAACCUCCCGUAUACCAGGCGAGGUACUUACAGAGCAAUUACCAAAAUAAUAGCAUGUCCUCACAUUACUAUUCAAAUACUGUUAGUUUACAGAAGAGUGCUAUGUGUACUGGGUAUUUUCUUUCAAGUGUUUGGCAGAUACGACCUUUUCUUUAGAUUCAAUGAAUAAUAGCAAAUAAAGCCGGAGCGCUGUGUUGGUUAGAGACUAUUUAAAUAAUAUAUACGGCAAUAAACCUUUUAUAUUCUAAACCCAAUUAAACUGCCUUCAGAGUGUGACACUCAAUAAAUAUGCCAUUACUGUUCAAGUCAAAGCAAGCAUCAGUAAUGGGGAACUGCUUUCAGGCACCAGCUACCAAGUAUGCCAUUCAACAACUUCAUUGGGGAAAAAUGUCUUCUCAAGACAUUAAAAUGCAAAUUCAGUUGUCUAAUAAAGUCACAUUUGAUUACAAAAGCAUUACUGUAUAAUUCGAGCUGCUCUAAUCAUUUAAAGCGGCCCUCCGGCGUGCCUUCGGGUCGUACCACGUUCACGCUCGGCACGGCGUCCGACGUUUCACUCCGCGUGCCUUGAGCUGGGUCAGGAAAGCGAACACACGAUUCGUCGAAAUUCAGCGAAACGCGUUUGCGGGCAUCAUGCCCUGGAGAGUGCGCGGCACAGCCCGAGCGAGAGCACAUGCCGGAGAGGUGUGACGCAGCGCAGCGCCGGCCUUUAGCUUCCCCUCGCGUUUGGCUUUCUCAGUAAGCUUCUAAUUAUAUUAUUGGUUCUUUCGGUAAAGUCACGUAGAAGGGAAAAUAAUAAUAAUUUAAAAAUAUAAAACCAUAUUUUUUAUUAUUUCCCUUCUACGUGACUUUACCGAAAGAACCAAGAAUAUGAAUCCCAGCAGUCAUGAAAGCUUUAAAUCAAAAUUUAAGCUUCUAUUUGUCUUUUCUUAAAUUUUCCUCCACUUGGCCUUACAAUAUGUAUUUUUGUCAUGAUGUACUGUGCCCUGAUAAUCUUAGAGAACGGCGCUUUACGAACGCCACUUAUUAUCACCCCUGCUAACAAGGGUCUUUGUGAAAGAAAAACGUCAGGAUUCUGCACUAUUAUUUACGCCUUUCACGAUUAAAAAAAAAGCACGCAUUGGUUUCACGCAAUUUUGUCAAGACUUACUGAAUUGUGGAUGUGCAUACAUACGGUACUACAAUUAUCGAUAAACUCUCCA